rnacentral:lncRNA from 1 species
AACUGACGGUUCCCCACAAUCAAGGACAUUUGAGCACCAGCUAUCCGAUUGUCCAACUUUGUGGUUCCACUCAAACAGCAUCGCACGAUGACCACACCUGUUGGCCCAACGUGCCUCCAUGGAAUCCCUCUGCAUACGGUACCCACUGAUUUGAAGUCAUCCCUUGAAGGUCUCUCAAUCACUCUCGGAUGCUUCGAAGAUGAAUCAACCCACACAGACGAAGGCGGAAUCAACGGCUGUGACAUGGCGUGAUUCUGAAAUGAUUGGCAUUGGUUGACAUAGCUAACUCGAGCGUCUCAACAGACAACCAAUUCCUUUUACAAGGUAGCAUCGUCUUAUACGAUCUUCAUGAGCGCGACAAAUGUCAAUCUAUGCUUUGACGUGAUCGCUGCAAUAACAUU